rnacentral:rRNA from 1 species
AUUGAACGCUGGCGGCAUGCUUUACACAUGCAAGUCGGACGAGUGGCGAACGGGUGAGUAACGCAUCGGAACGUACCGAGUAAUGGGGGAUAACUGUCCGAAAGGACAGCUAAUACCGCAUAUUAUUCGAGCGGCCGAUGUCUGAUUAGCUGGUUGGCGGGGUAAAGGCCCACCAAGGCGACGAUCAGUAGCGGGUCUGAGAUGAUGAUCGCGCAAACUGGGACUGAGACACUGCGCAGUCUCCUACGGGAGGCAGCAGUGGGGAAUUUGGGACAAUGGGCGAAAGCCUGAUGUAGACAUGCCGCGUGUCUGAAGAAGGCCUUCGGGUUGUAAAGGACUUUUGUCAGGGAGGCGGUACCUGAAGAAUAAGCACCGGCUAACUCCGUGCCAGCAGCCGCGGUAAUAC